GUGAAGAUGCAGUGUACCCGCGGCAAGACGGAAAGACCCCGUGAACCUUUACUAUAGCUUGACACUGAACAUUGAGCCUUGAUGUGUAGGAUAGGUGGGAGGCUUUGAAGUGUGGACGCCAGUCUGCAUGGAGCCGACCUUGAAAUACCACCCUUUAAUGUUUGAUGUUCUAACGUUGACCCGUAAUCCGGGUUGCGGACAGUGUCUGGUGGGUAGUUUGACUGGGGCGGUCUCCUCCUAAAGAGUAACGGAGGAGCACGAAGGUUGGCUAAUCCUGGUCGGACAUCAGGAGGUUAGUGCAAUGGCAUAAGCCAGCUUGACUGCGAGCGUGACGGCGCGAGCAGGUGCGAAAGCAGGUCAUAGUGAUCCGGUGGUUCUGAAUGGAAGGGCCAUCGCUCAACGGAUAAAAGGUACUCCGGGGAUAACAGGCUGAUACCGCCCAAGAGUUCAUAUCGACGGCGGUGUUUGGCACCUCGAUGUCGGCUCAUCACAUCCUGGGGCUGAAGUAGGUCCCAAGGGUAUGGCUGUUCGCCAUUUAAAGUGGUACGCGAGCUGGGUUUAGAACGUCGUGAGACAGUUCGGUCCCUAUCUGCCGUGGGCG
rnacentral:rRNA from 1 species